rnacentral:lncRNA from 1 species
UGAGGUUGAUCUGUCAGUUUAGCUGACAUCCUGCGUUUAAAGAAAGUAUUAGAUACAGAAAACAAAACCUGUUUCUGUCUAGAAAAUGAAGUGCCAAAGGAGAAACCCACAACCUCAGUUUGGGAGGAGAGAGCAGGCGAUGUGGGGCGCUGACUUUCACAUUGAACAUGACAGGUAGCCCAGAUGGUUUCUCAAUGGAAAAUGACUUUUCCCGAAGACAUUCUACCAUAUCUGCAAUGUUUCUAGUGCUUACACAUUUGGGUGAAUGAAUAUCAACUUCAUGGUCAUCUUGGGAACAAGAAGUGUGGAGCCAACUCUUAACUCUGAUGUGAAAUCUCAUUGGCCAGUUGACUGCUUCCAAUAUGGGACAAGUGGGACACCAAUAUUCUGGGAAGGAGUAAACAGUAGCUCCAGAGAGGAGUAGCAAUUAUGGAUAGCGAGGCUGUGUGUGUGGUCUGGAGGGCCUUGCCACACAUAGCAAGGACAUCUGAGGCUCUAGGCCAGGUGUGUCAGCACACCUGAGCUUGUGGCAAGAUUUGGAAAAGAAGAGCUCAGCUCCCCUCUGAGAUGCCCAAAAGGAUCCCCUCACACAUUGUGGGCAGCAGACUUGAAGCUGGGCUGCAAUAAAAAACAAACCCAGGGCCAGCCCAUGGUUUCGCAGGUUUGGAUCCUGGGCGCAGACAUGGCACCACUCAUCAGGCCAUGCUGAGGCGGCAUCCCACAUAACACAACCAGAGGCACUCGCAACUGGAAUAUACAACUACAUACUGGGGGGCUUUGGGGAGAAGAAGGAGGAAAAAAAAAAAGAUUGGCAACAGAUGUUAGCUCAGGUGCCAAUCUUUAAAAAACAACAACAAUCCUCCCCCAGGACUGGCUAGAAUCAUUCUGUCCACACAGGUCUCAGCUUCUUAUCAAACAUUUUCCAAUCAGAAACAGCCUUCCCUUCCAAGGAGGAAUUCUGGCACGUGGAUUUCCUCCAGCUCAGCACCGUUGCUUCAGGGGACUCAGUGGUGGGAGGCCAAUGCCAGGGCAGCUUCAAUAAAACCGCC